AGUUCCUUUUAACUCUAUUCCAGCAGCCGCGGUAAUACGUUCCCGGGUCUUGCCUCACCGCCCGUCACACCACGAGAGUUUACAACACCCGAAGUCGGUGGGGUAACCGCAAGGAGCCAGCCGCCGAAGGUGGGGUAGAUGAUUGGGGUGAAGUCGUAACAAGGUAGCCGUAUCGGAAGGUGCGGCUGGAUCACCUCCUUUCUAUGGAGAUCAUGACCAUUGCAGAUGGUCGGAUCAAAUGACGCACAAACUUAGCUCGGGUUCAGUUUUGAAAGGCGCAAGCUUUUCAAACUUUGUUCCUUGAAAACUGGAUAACGAAACAAACUAGCUGAAACAUCUAAGUAAUGCCGCGGUGUUUUUAAACAUCGCACAUUAGCUGUGCUUUAAUAGUUAAGCUAACAAGAGCGCACGGAGGAUACCUAGACACACAGAGA
rnacentral:misc_RNA from 1 species